rnacentral:misc_RNA from 1 species
CAUCCCGAAUGUCUAGUGCAGGUAAAAUCAUAGUUGGAGUUUCAAUUUAUUUCAAAUUGUAGGCGAAGAUGUGAAACAAAUUAUAUCCUAACCUUUCUAUUUCACAAUUUACUUGUAGUGCUCCAAUAUUGGCUUUCAUUUUCAGACAAGUCUUUUGUUGUUUGAUAGUCUGCUAUACCUUGUUAAGUAAUUGUGGAUAGCUGUUCUAAAACCACUAUAUGUGAUACAUAGAAUGGCUUGCAUCAAGCUAUAUGCUCUAAUUAGGAACUUGGAAUUUUUCAUAAAUGAGGUAGUAUAUAGAACCAGUCUUCCAUGCUACACGAUAUAUGGCUUCAUUUGUUUCAGAGAAGAGAUGCCUUUCAGAAAUACUCUGUAGAAUGCAUUUUAUGAGUGAAUUAUAUUCUGUUGUUUGAUUGUAACAUUGAAAAUGGGAGACUAAUUUAUGGUGUUCAGACUUCAGAGUACAGUUGAAAAAUUGAUUUCCUUUCAAGGAGAGUAGGAGACCAUGAGAAAAAUCUGGAUCUAUGAGGUCUAUUUUUUUCUACUUGUUUCUGAUAAACUUGAAUGAAUUAGAAAAUUGCAGAAAAAAGGGUUAAAUUGACUGACAGCCAGUAACAGUAGUUAGUGAUGGGCUGGUGUUGUAGUAGUGGCUAUAUGACAAUUGUCUCUUACAGGUUCCCUUUCCUUUUCACAAGUUGUAUCAGCCCACAGAUAACAUCCUGCUUGCAACAUGUUAAACUCAUUUUCCUAGAAGUGGGCUUAGUUAUUUCUUUGAUUAGGAAAACUGUUAGAAUAGGAAUGUAACUAUUGUGUUUGACUUAUUAGUGCUGUAAUAGGAGAUUAAAUCCCUAAAAUUAGGGAAUUCCUUGAUUAGGGUAAUUAUGUGUAUUUCCUAUUUAGGUUCAUUGAAAUUGUAUAUAUAACCCCACAGGCUUGAGGGAAAUAAUCAAGCUAUUUUUCUCUAAAUCUUUGUUUCUAAAUUUCUACAAAAUCGGUUUGUCAUGGCUGUUACAGAUGACAAGUCUUUCACUGUGAUUCCAAAAUCCACAUCACUGGGUGUAUCAGAAAAUAGGCAAAAAUCUGUUACAUAUUGAUCGAGAGGAUACUUGAUGGACAUUAGUUAAAAUUCUGGUAUCACCAGAGACAGACUUUUACCUGUGAAGGAAUGUUACAUAGUGGCUCUUUUGUCUCAAAGCAGAAAGGGAGAACAGUGGACUGAGUAGUAGUGUGCUUGUUAUUUGUCUCUUUCUUCAUUUUUUUUUCCAAAAAAAAAAUAGAAACUCAAUUUUGAAAAUCCAACUGAUAUUU